UACGGGGGGGGCAAGCGUUGUUCGGAAUUACUGGGCGUAAAGGGCUUGUAGGUGGCCAACUAAGUCAGACGUGAAAUCCCUCAGCUUAACUGGGGAACUGCGUCUGAGACUGGUCGGCUUGAGUGCAGGAGAGGAACGCGGAAUUCCAGGUGUAGCGGUGAAAUUCGUAGAUAUCGGGAGGAACACCGGUGGCGAAGGCGGCGACCUGGGUCGAGACUGACGCUGAGGCGCGAAAGCGUGGGGAGCAAACAGG
rnacentral:rRNA from 1 species